rnacentral:rRNA from 1 species
UGGCGCACGGGUGAGUAACACGUAGGUAAUGUACCUUUGGGUGGGGAAUAACUUAGGGAAACUUAAGCUAAUACCGCAUAAUGCGAUAACUUCUUCGGAAGAUUUUGUUAAAGAUUUAUCGCCUGAAGAGCAGCCUGCGGCAGAUUAGCUAGUUGGUAAGGUAACGGCUUACCAAGGCUACGAUCUGUAUCCGACCUGAGAGGGUGGUCGGACACACUGACACUGAAUAACGGGUCAGACUCCUACGGGAGGCAGCAGUCGGGAAUUUUGGGCAAUGGGCGAAAGCCUGACCCAGCAACGCCGCGUGAAGGAUGAAGUCUUUCGGGAUGUAAACUUCGUAAGAAUAGGAAGAAUAAAUGACGGUACUAUUUGUAAGGUCCGGCUAACUACGUGCCAGCAGCCGCGGUAAUACGUAGGGACCAAGCGUUGUUCGGAUUUACUGGGCGUAAAGGGCGCGUAGGCGGCAAUUCAAGUCAGUUGUGAAAUCUCCGAGCUUAACUCGGAACGGUCAACUGAUAC